rnacentral:lncRNA from 1 species
UAAAACUCCACUGAAGUCAUAUUUUAAGGUGUCUCUCUGCAGAUAGAUGCUGCACAAGAUCCUGGAGACCAGACAGAGUCAGAGACCGUGAAAGAGCUCUCAGAUCCACUGAAUGAGGCUGCGGCAGAACAUCAGGAGGAGCCCGGCGAAGCUGCUGCAGGUGAGGAACAAACCUCUGAGAUCCUGAACACAGACCAAUCACAGUCUCAGGACACGCAGAAGGAAAAUGAUCAAGCAGACGUCCCACCUGAAGAGAACGAGCCUGAAGCAGAGAAGACAGAAGACUCUGAUGAGAGACAGACAGAAACUGAGGACAAAGUGAGAAUGCUUAG